UGUCUCCUCCUCCGGUGGCAGCACAGGGCAAGCCUUCCCUGGCAGCCAGUAGGAGAGACUGAGAGUAAGUCAGAGGAUAGUUGUCAUGUUGACCAGGAGUUGUCAGCUAUGUUUUCCUGCCUCUUACAUUG
rnacentral:snoRNA from 1 species